rnacentral:rRNA from 1 species
UACGUAGGGGCAAGCGUUGUCCGGAUUUAUUGGGCGUAAAGAGCGUGUAGGCGGUUUGGUAGGUCCGUUGUGAAAACUCGAGGCUCAACCUCGAGACGCCGAUGGAACCAUCAGACUAGAGUCCGGAAGAGGAGAGUGGAAUUCCUGGUGUAGCGGUGAAAUGCGCAGAUAUCAGGAAGAACACCAAUGGCGAAGGCAGCUCGCUGGGACGGUACUGACGCUGAGACGCGAAAGCGUGGGGAGCAAACAGG